GUCAGUAUACUCAUAGAUGAAAAUCUAAUGACCUUUCAUGUAAGUAUGGUUUGUGAUGAAAUUCUAUUAAGGCCCUCUAUGUGAGUAUGUUUCCCGAUGAAAUUUUAAGGACCCUUUACAUGACAGUAUGCUUGAUUUACAAGACCUUUCCGAUGUAAUCUAAGGGGACCCUCUAUGUCAGUAUACUUUCGAUGUAAACUUUGGACCAUUUAUGUCAGUUUGCUUUCCGAUAUAAUCUACAGACCCUUCCUGUUAGUAUGCUCCCGAAUUCUUAUAUGGACCCGUUCCGUCAGUAUACUUUCAAGAAUUAUGGAUGGUCUUUACACACUAUUCAGUAAUCACAUUGAUGAUCUACCUUAUAUUGUUCGAUUGAUGGUUUAAUAUCUUUGUCAAAGCUCUGCUAUAGAAAAUUCCACAUUUCCACCUGAAAAUGAUAAGCUCUUUCAGCAAUGCUAGGAUGUAACUCGUUGUCCCUCUUUGCUGUAUGCUUGAAAGUGGAAGACUUUCAGUCGUUCCGAGAGGUUCUUUUGUAGUAUUUUCUGCGCCUACAAGUACAGCUGUCAGCAAUUCAUGUUUUCUGAGAGAUCCUUCUGAAGUAGUUUCUACUCCUACAAGUGUAGGUAAAACUUUGUAUACUGAAGCUGCAACUGUUGCUACUGUUUCUAGAGGAAGGAGAUUGUUCCAUACCAAUCUUCUCAAUGCAUUGGCUAUUCAAAAAUUCUGAGAGUUUUGUGAUGCACUGAUGCUUUUGGAGAAGACAAUGUUGGUCUCACCCGAGAUUCUGCUGUCCACAGAGAUGCUCAGGUUCUAAUUAUGACCACUGAGAUUCUAUGAAACAUGUUAUAUCAGAGCUGUGUACGGAAUUCAUAGUAAAACAGAGCCGGUAACAUUGACAAAACGUCCAGUUCGUUUGACAUAGCAUCUUUCUACCACAAGUCCACAACAACUUUGCUUCCCCUACUCAAUGAGACAGGAACCAGCUUAAAUAGGUUACACUGCAACCCAAGCAACAUUUUUUCAACAAUGCAUGCUCUACUUUCAAUGUUCCUCAAGUUAUAGAUACAGUAUGGCACCUUAAGACAAGGGACCAUCUGCCUGCAGUUUGGUUCAUCUUUAGCAGAAAGAGAUGUUAUGCGGAAGUUCAGUUCUCACCACGUUGUAAUGACCUACUUGUUACAAUAUGAGCUGGAAAUCGAAUCAUUGAUUUACCAUAUCUUGUCAAAUCAAUGAUGGUGGUAGUUGUGUCAAAGUUCUUUUUUUGAGAACUUGAGGUUGGAAUGUCUUUGCGAGAUCAUGAUGGUCUGUCUUCACAUUAUGUGAGCAUAUUCUUGACCUUUUGGAUGUAUAAUAUUUGAAUAGUUGGAAUUGCUGUAUUGGAUUAUUCAUGACAGAUGUUUUUGGCUGAAGUAAUGAAAUCAGUUUUAUUA